CUUUCUGCAAGGUGCUGCAUGGUUGUCGUCAGCUCGUGCCGUGAGGUGUCGGGUUAAGUCCCAUAACGAGCGCAACCCUUAUCGUUAGUUGCCAUCUGGUAAUGCAGGGGACUCUAGCGAAACUGCCACCGUAAGGUGAGAGGAAGGUGGGGAUGACGUCAAAUCAGCACGGCCCUUAUGUCCAGGGCUACACACGUGUUACAAUGGUCGGUACAGAGGGCAGCUACCUGGUGACAGGAUGCUAAUCUCGAAAACCGGUCUCAGUUCGGAUUGGAGUCUGCAACCCGACUCCAUGAAGUUGGAUUCGCUAGUAAUCGCGCAUCAGCCAUGGCGCGGUGAAUACGUUCCCGGGCCUU
rnacentral:rRNA from 1 species